rnacentral:rRNA from 1 species
UCCUCCCUCUGGCGGCGUGCUUAACACAUGCAAGUCGAACGGAAAGGCCCUGCUUGCAGGGUACUCGAGUGGCGAACGGGUGAGUAACACGUGGGUGAUCUGCCCUGCACUUCGGGAUAAGCCUGGGAAACUGGGUCUAAUACCGGAUAGGAGCCAUUUUUAGUGUGAUGGUUGGAAAGUUUUUUCGGUGUAGGAUGAGCUCGCGGCCUAUCAGCUUGUUGGUGGGGUAAUGGCCUACCAAGGCGGCGACGGGUAGCCGGCCUGAGAGGGUGGACGGCCACAUUGGGACUGAGAUACGGCCCAGACUCCUACGGGAGGCAGCAGUGGGGAAUAUUGCACAAUGGGCGCAAGCCUGAUGCAGCGACGCCGCGUGGGGGAUGACGGCCUUCGGGUUGUAAACUCCUUUCGCUAGGGACGAAGCUUUUGUGACGGUACCUAGAUAAGAAGCACCGGCUAACUACGUG